rnacentral:rRNA from 1 species
GAUGAACGCUGGCGGCGUGCCUAAUACAUGCAAGUCGAGCGAACAGACGAGGAGCUUGCUCCUCUGACGUUAGCGGCGGACGGGUGAGUAACACGUGGAUAACCUACCUAUAAGACUGGGAUAACUUCGGGAAACCGGAGCUAAUACCGUAUAAUAUAUUGAACCGCAUGGUUCAAUAGUGAAAGACGGUUUUGCUGUCACUUAUAGAUGGUUCCGCGCCGCAUUAGCUAGUUGGUAAGGUAACGGCUUACCAAGGCAACGAUGCGUAGCCGACCUGAGAGGGUGAUCGGCCACACUGGAACUGAGACACGGUCCAGACUCCUACGGGAGGCAGCAGUAGGGAAUCUUCCGCAAUGGGCGAAAGCCUGACGGAGCAACGCCGCGUGAGUGAUGAAGGUCUUCGGAUCGUAAAACUCUGUUAUUAGGGAAGAACAAAUGUGUAAGUAACUAUGCACGUCUUGACGGUACCUAAUCAGAAAGCCACGGCUAACUACGUG